rnacentral:sRNA from 1 species
UUUCCCAUCAAUCCAUCCCCAGGCCCACUCCCUGACUGAGAGGGAGGAUAUGGGUUAGACAGAGAAAGGGAGUAACCUCGGGAUGGGUCGUAGGCAAGCCCCUGGGGAAGGAGGAGCAUGAGGAGGCUGGGGUGCUCUUUGUGCUGGAGGCAGUAGGUCUGGACGUGCUGUGGCUGAUGCUGGACGUGAGACAGGUGGUGUGGGAAUGUGGCCCCACUGAGGCUCUGGCUCGGGGGCUGUGUGCCUGCAGAACCAGUCUUCAGUAUGGCAUCAUGUGUCUGAAGAGGCUGAAUUAUGACCGGAAGGAGCUGGAGAAGAGGCGAGAGGAGAGCCAGCACGAGAUCAAGGAUGUGUUAGUCUGGACCAACGACCAGGUGGUUCAUUGGGUCCAGUCUAUUGGGCUCCGGGACUACGCAGGAAACCUGCAUGAGAGUGGUGUGCAUGGAGCCUUGCUGGCCCUGGACGAGAACUUCGACCACAACACACUGGCCCUGAU